CAACCAUUGCAAUCGGCCUGUUCAAUCCAUUUUCGCACCCUGGGGGCUGCUUUGUGUGGCUCAACAUCUCCUCCCCACCUCCAGAGCACCAGCAAUUCCCCUGGCAUCCCAGGAAAUGGAUUUCCUGAUCAUGUCCCAGCACUGGAAUCCUGGAACCCUGCCACAAUUAAGAUCACUUGUUCCCUUUGUUUGGGCAUCUCUUCUUCAGAGCAGACUGGGCAAGAGCCACUGCAGCACUUCAAAAGGAGAGUUCACGCAUGGAUCUGCCCACGAUGCCCAAAACCUCAAGGGCUCCUCUCUGCCUUCCUGCCCCGUCGAAGCGGAUCCUUGGAUUGCUCUGCCUGCUGAAAUCGUUAUUUCCAGCGGGGUAUCCCAAGGGAUUUGGUGCUCAGCAGCAGGUAAGUGGCCUUUGAUCCCAGGGGGCAGCAGGGCUGGUGGAUAAGGCUCCAGGGAGACAGACUCCACAGCCAUCCCUCCUUCCUUAAUUCCCUUCUGAAGUGCUGGAGCCACUGUCAGCUCUCAUUAAAAGAAGGGAAUGCCCUUGUUUUAAUUCCCAAGCAGAGCCAACUGGAUAAUGAUAUUAACCCCAGCAGGGGGUGGCAGGAGAAGGCACCUCCUCGCUUCAAAUGUUUGGACAAAAAAUUUGCUCUCAUUAGGGCCCAGGCCCAGGAGAUGUCG
rnacentral:lncRNA from 1 species